rnacentral:rRNA from 1 species
UACGUAGGGUGCGAGCGUUAAUCGGAAUUACUGGGCGUAAAGCGUGCGCAGGCGGUUCGUUAAGUCAGAUGUGAAAGCCCCGGGCUCAACCUGGGAACUGCAUUUGAAACUGGCGGGCUUGAGUGUGGCAGAGGGGGGUGGAAUUCCGCGUGUAGCAGUGAAAUGCGCAGAUAUCAGGAGGAACACCGAUGGCGAAGGCAGUGGUCUGGGCCGAAACUGACGCUGAGGCACGAAAGCGUGGGGAGCAAACAGG